rnacentral:rRNA from 1 species
UACGAAGGGGGCUAGCGUUGUUCGGAAUCACUGGGCGUAAAGAGCGUGUAGGCGGCUUGUUAAGUCUUGCGUGAAAUCUCGGGGCUCAACCCCGAGCGGUCGUGAGAAACUGGCAGGCUAGAGUGCGGGAGAGGAGAGUGGAAUUCCUGGUGUAGCGGUGAAAUGCGUAGAUAUCAAGCGGAACACCGGUGGCGAAGGCGGCCUUCUGGACAGUGACUGACGCUGAGACGCGAAAGCGUGGGGAGCAAACAGG